AACGAACGCUGGCGGCAGGCUUAACACAUGCAAGUCGAACGGGCGUAGCAAUACGUCAGUGGCGGACGGGUGAGUAACACGUGGGAAUAUGCCUUUCGGUUCGGAACAACUCGGGGAAACUCGUGCUAAUUCCGGAUACGCCCUUACGGGGAAAGAUUUAUCGCCGAAGGAUUAGCCCGCGUUGGAUUAGCUAGUUGGUGAGGUAAUGGCCCACCAAGGCGACGAUCCAUAGCUGGUUUGAGAGAACGACCAGCCACACUGGGACUGAGACACGGCCCAGACUCCUACGGGAGGCAGCAGUGGGGAAUCUUGGACAAUGGAGGAAACUCUGAUCCAGCCAUGCGCGUGAGUGAUGAAGGCCUUCGGGUUG
rnacentral:rRNA from 1 species